rnacentral:misc_RNA from 1 species
AAGUCGUAACAAGGUUUCCGUAGGUGAACCUGCGGAAGGAUCAUUACUGAAUGACGUGCGUCCUGGUUGUGGUAGACCCAUUUCCUCUCAUCGGAUUUGGUCAGACGUCGGACCAGCCGGGAUUUGGUCUACCAUGCCUUUCACCAAACAAACCUGUCGUUGUAUGUAUGGCAUCAAAGUAUGUAAAUACAAAUAUAACUUUCAACAACGGAUCUCUUGGCUCUC